UCCCUGAUGGCUCAGACAGUAAAGAAUCCACCUGCAAUGUGGGAGACCCAGGUUCAAUCCCUGGAUUGGGAA
rnacentral:tRNA from 1 species